rnacentral:piRNA from 1 species
UCCUCACCUUGUGGGAGCUGUUGCCUUU